rnacentral:lncRNA from 1 species
UUGCUUCUGUUCCCUGGACUGGGCUGGAAAGAACAACUCUUCUGAGACACAGCUUUACACAUAGCAUGAGCAGAGUGGUGUCAUCAGCAAUUCUGAAAACGUGUUUACAGUGGCUGGGGAAAAUAUUUAGUCAGCAUUUAAAUAUCUUAGCUCACACACAAAUUUUAGUUGUCUACUGCACUUAACAGUUCCAAUAACUGGUUUCAUUAAGAUUUUUAGUAAUACAAAUUAAUAACAAAAGUCAGUUAAUACAGAGUGCAGUUAUGAGACCAAACCACAUGUGGUUUAAAUUUAAAGAGUUAAAUGUUAGCGUCUCCCUAUAGAGAAAGAUUAUUUGGGCAGUGGUAUACUGACAUUAUCACCACCCACAGAGAAUGGGACCUCUUGAUCAUAUUGGUUAAGCAGAAAUUCAAAAAAGAAAAACUGUAGGUCUAGAGGGUUUGCUUGGUAUAAGUGAAUCACACAGGAAAAAUGCUGAUACCCAGGGUUGUUGUAGUGACUUGCUUUGAUGGUUAGAAAGAGAAAUAAGCACGGGAUAUUUUUGUCAAGUUAGAGGGUUUAGAUUGCUUCUUGCUAGGUAAAAUUUAUCUUAGUUAUUAAUAUAGUGGAAAGUUAAAUUAUGAUAAUGGAAAUAUGAUAAUAAGUGCUUUUGGAAAAUGGUCAGAAAUUAUUUUCUGUGUACAUUUAAAAUAUUCCAAUGUGUUAACAGUUGGACUGAAGGGCUGCUAAGAACAUGAAUGUGGAAAAUAAAGGAAAGCUUUUGUUCACGAAGAUGUUUCUGGACACUGCCAUGCUGUUUCUGGCAAAUCAUAUCUGAUAAGAUACAGAUUGGUUAUUCAUACUUCCUGGCAGUGGUUAUAAGAGGAGGAGGACUGAGAAUUUAGUAGGUGAGUUAAUCUCAUUUUUACUGUGUCUCAAGAGCCACCCACUUUCCCUUCAUAUGACUCGAUACCAGAAGGUUCUUACAGGUUUUGCAGAGUGAGACCAAAGAUUUGACCUUCUUUUCUGCCCUGACUUUUUUUGCUCCCCUUUAUUUUUCUGCAGAUUUGUCAUUUUCCAGCCCCUCUCACUAGCCGGACACCCAGCUCACUUCCACCUCUGCCUUCUCCCUGCAGAUACCGGGUGGGAUUGCCCAGCGGGCAUUUGAGGACAGGGAGUCAGUAGAGCGUGGUUAGCUGGCUGCUGACUCAAAGGGCUGAAGCCCUG